GAUGAACGCUGGCGGCGUGCUUAACACAUGCAAGUCGAACGGGAAACCUUUUAAUGAAGCUUCGGCAGAUUUGGCUGGUUUCUAUUGGCGGACGGGUGAUUAACGCGUGGUUAACCUGCCUUAUCCAGGGGGAUAACAGUCAGAAAUGACUGCUAAUACCGCAUAAGCGCACAGGACCGCAUGGUCCGGUGUGAAAAACUCCGGUGGUAUAAGAUGGACCCGCGUUGGUUUAGCUUGUUGGUGGGGUAACGGCUCACCAAGGCGACGAUCCAUAGCCGGGAAGAGAGGGUGAGCGGCAACAUUGGGACUAGGACACGGCACAGAAACCUAAGGGAGGGGAGAGAGGGGAAGAUAGCAAAAUGGGGGAAACGAUGAUGCAGCGACGACGCGAGAAGGAAGAAGUAACGCGGUAUGAAAACUGCUAUCAGCAGGGAAGAUAGUGACGGUACCUGACUAAGAAGCCCCGGCUAACUACGUG
rnacentral:rRNA from 1 species